UACCAGCACCCCGAGUGGUCGGGACGAUUAUUGGGCCUAAAGCAUCCGUAGCCGGUUUUACAAGUCCCCCGUUAAGUCCAACUGCUUAACAGAUGGGCCGCGGAGGAUACUAUAAGACUAGGAGGCAGGAGAGGCAAGCGGUACUCAGUGGGUAGGGGUAAAAUCCGUUGAUCCAUUGAAGACCACCAGUGGCGAAGGCGGCUUCCUGGCCUGUUCUUGACGCUGGAGGCGCGGAAAGCUAGGGGAGCAAACGGG
rnacentral:rRNA from 1 species